GCAUUAGCUCAGUUGGUAGAGCAUAAGAUGCUUGAUCUCAGGAUUGUGGGUUCGAGUCUCACAUUGAGUG